rnacentral:lncRNA from 12 species
CUAGAGAUAAAGGUUCUAGAAGUAAAAGCCAUUGCAGACCCACACCUUCCUUUUGCCACAUAUUCCUGCCCUUCUGUUACAGGAAGCUCUGAUGUGUCAAUGGAGAUGCUCCAGGUAUUCUGAAGUUUGCAAGUUCUAAGGUUUUCUUCUGCUUGGAGAGGUGAUCUCCAUCCCUCCCUAGAGAAAAUCCAAAGAAUUCUGAUCUUUAAAUUGCAGAAAGAUAAAAUUUAAAAGUGGG